rnacentral:rRNA from 1 species
AACGAACGCUGGCGGCAUGCCUAACACAUGCAAGUCGAACGAAGUGGCGCACGGGUGCGUAACGCGGGGGAAUCUGCCCUUAGGUUCGGAAUAACAGCUGGAAACGGCUGCUAAUACCGGAUGCCUGAGGAUGAGCCCGCGUUGGAUUCGGUAGUUGGUGGGGUAAAGGCCUACCAAGCCGACGAUCCAUAGCUGGUCUGAGAGGAUGAUCAGCAACACUGGGACUGAGACACGGCCCAAACUCCUACGGGAGGCAGCAGUGGGGAAUAUUGGACAAUGGGGGCAACCCUGAUCCAUCCAUGCCGCGUGAGUGAUGAAGGCCCUAGGGUUGUAAAGCUCUUUUGUGCGGGAAGCGGUACCGCAAGAAUAAGCCCCGGCUAACUUCGUGCCAGCAGCCGCGGUAAUAC